CGGGACGGGUGAGUAAUGUCUGGGAAACUGCCUGAUGGAGGGGGAUAACUACUGGAAACGGUAGCUAAUACCGCAUAACGUCGCAAGACCAAAGAGGGGGACCUUCGGGCCUCUUGCCAUCGGAUGUGCCCAGAUGGGAUUAGCUAGUAGGUGGGGUAACGGCUCACCUAGCGACGAUCCCUAGCUGGUCUGAGAGGAUGACCAGCCACACUGGAACUGAGACACGGUCCAG
rnacentral:rRNA from 1 species